rnacentral:lncRNA from 1 species
GGGUUCUGGACAGACCUACGCUGUCGGGGAGUGUUUACUUCGCCUCCACUUCUGUUCCUCCCCGCCCUGGUGCUGCUCCAGGUCACAUACUCUUCCUGAGCCGGCUUCAGCCUCUCCGCGCAGAAGUCUCCCGGAGCCAUGGCCUAGUAUUCUUAUGUGAAGUCUACCAAGCUUGUGCUCAAGGGAACCGAGUAAGAAGAAAAAGAGCAAAGAUAAGAAGAGAAAAAGAGAAGAUGAAGAAACCCAGCUUGAUAUGUUGAGGAACGCAGCUGCUCACCAGCAACGGAACAAAGCUGGACGGAGAAUGACUUUGAAGAGCUGAGAGAAGGCUUCAGACGAUCAAAUUACUCUGAGCUACGGGAGGACAUUCAAACCAAAGGCAAAGAAGUUGAAAACUUUGAAAAAAAUAAAUGUACAUUAAUUAACGUGGAAUCUGGUGAACAGUAACAAACUUUGGUGAAAUUUCAGGAACCAUAGCCAUUGAAGUGGAUGAGGGAACCUAUAUACAUGCACUCAACAAUGGUCUUUUUACCCUGGGAGCUCCACACAAAGAAGAAUCGCCCUGAAACCUGGCUAUGGAAAAUAUCUUAGUAUAAAUUCAGAUGAACUUGUUGUUGGCGUUCAGAUGCAAUUGGACCAAGAGAACAAUGGGAACCAGUCUUUCAAAAUGGUGCCUGUGCAGCAGUAUUCACUGUGAUAGGAAGUGAGAAGCAGUCUGAGUGUUCAUUGCUGAGGGAAUCAAGGGCAAAAUAUCAUGGAUGCACUCAUGGACAAAUAAGCAGCAGUUUGAAGCAACACCCUAGAUGGAUGUACAGCCAUCAAGAGGAUCUUAAAGUGUGGUCUUUAGUGGAAAAAAAGCUUAUUUUGGGAGAGGCCAGCUGCCAUGUCAUGAAGACACUCAAGAAGCCCUGUGAAGAGGAAGCAAGGCCUGCCAACAACAGCCAGCACCAACUUUCCAGCCAAGGGAUUGAGCCAUCUCACAGUGGAUCCUCCAGCCCCCACCAAGCCUUCAUAUGACCAAACCAAUACCAACAUGUAACUGUGACCUCAUGUGAGUCCCCAAGCCAGAAUACCCAUCUCCUGUCUCAGAAAUGAUGAGAAAUAAUAAAUAUAUGUGCUCACACACAUUACCAUCUAA